UGAGGAAUAUUGGUCAAUGGGCGAGAGCCUGAACCAGCCAAGUAGCGUGCAGGAUGACGGCCCUAUGGGUUGUAAACUGCUUUUAUGUGGGGAUAAAGUGCGUGACGUGUCAUGCAUUGCAGGUACCACAUGAAUAAGGACCGGCUAAUUCCGUGCCAGCAGCCGCGGUAAUACGGAAGGUCCGGGCGUUAUCCGGAUUUAUUGGGUUUAAAGGGAGCGUAGGCUGUCUAUUAAGCGUGUUGUGAAAUAUACCGGCUCAACCGGUGGCUUGCAGCGCGAACUGGUCGACUUGAGUAUGCAGGAAGUAGGCGGAAUUCAUGGUGUAGCGGUGAAAUGCUUAGAUAUCAUGACGAACUCCGAUUGCGCAGGCAGCUUACUGUAGCAUAACUGACGCUGAUGCUCGCAAGUGCGGGUAUCAAACAGG
rnacentral:rRNA from 1 species